ACACACAAUAAAAAAUAAGACAAGAUUGUGUUAAUGGAUAGUGUGAACACACAAUAUGUAGCGGAAAUAAGAGUGUUCACACACAGUAUAUAUAACAGCAGAUGGAUAUUGCCAUUCACAUUUAACGUUCACACCCUCCAUGAUCAAUGCAGUCAGUAUCUUCUUUCCUCUCCCUGAGAAAACCCCAGCGCCGUCUCAAGCUAAAGCGCUACAACCUUGUCUCGUCUCAGCUUGUCUGCUGCUUCCAAGCCCAGGUCCAUCUCCAAUCCUCCGCCAAAAUAUCGAACCCAAAGUAGGGGAACACGAUCAACAGCCCCGGUGACAAGAGAGACAACCAGAGAAGGCGGUUGAGAUGUUAUACAGCCCAGCCAGCAACGGAGCAAGACUGAAAAGGUAUAAAAUUGCUUCCCUUUGCCAAUUGUGAUACGCGAUCUGUAAAUAUAGUCCCUGGAAGAAGAUGGAUGCUCAAUUGAGAGCCCUCCCCACCUCAUUUCCGUCAUGCUGUGGCCUAAACCUGAUGUGAUUCAUUUUCGAUGUUCACUUGAAUCUAGUCUUUGCUUAGGUACCAUCCUGAAGAGUGUCAUCAACGGUGCACCUCCGACUCUGAAGUAAUUUUGAAACAACCAAACUGAAAGCGAACACGACAGGCAAAGGGGACAGUUUGAUAGGACUAGUAGCAUGGCGACGGCUGAAAUGAUACUGCACUGCUGAGCAAAUGCAUUGAACAAUGGCCAGACCUAAUCCAAAAAUUUCAGGGAAUGUACCAAAAAGCAUGUUAUUUGGAGUUGGAUAGUGAAAACACCAUAGCAUUCCCCGACUCCUCAAUACAACUCUUUCCUUUAUAGCAUUUUGAAGGAGCUCGCAGAUGCAAACAAGUACAGCCACAAUUGCCAACAGCAUACCAAUUAAUGCGUAGUGAGGAUUAAGUGGGGAGGAAACCUGAUCAAAAACCGAUGCCAGAAUCUCGAUGCCGCAGCUAGUGAGUAACAGGAUCCACUCUGAUGAAGUAACCUGCAGUAGAAGUUCUAGUGAGUAAUAGGAUCCACAUUAAGUUCUAAUUUUUUCAUUAAAACCUGGUGUGGGAUUAGAUAUUUGAUCUUAGGUUUAAAUGUCAAAAUGAUCCCUGUCUUAUGGUCAUAUGACCAAUUUAGUCUUCGUGUUUUCGACUUAGCUAAUUUAGUCUUCAUGUUUGUCUCUUUUAACCAAUUAAUAAGGACAUUUUAUUCAAUAU